UACGGAGGGUGCGAGCGUUGUCCGGAUUUAUUGGGUUUAAAGGGUGCGUAGGCGGCCUGUUAAGUCCGGGGUGAAAGCCCGUUGCUCAACAACGGAACUGCCCUGGAUACUGGCGGGCUUGAGUACAGGCGAGGUUGGCGGAAUGGACGGAGUAGCGGUGAAAUGCAUAGAUACCGUCCAGAACCCCGAUUGCGAAGGCAGCUGACUAGGCUGUAACUGACGCUGAGGCACGACAGCGUGGGGAG
rnacentral:rRNA from 1 species